AGCAUGGUGCAACAACGAGCUUUCCUGCACACACACAUUAAUUUCUCCAUAUAUCUUGACAUGCUUUGUGUUUCAUGGGCUACACAAAAAGCCAACAAAUUGUAGGCUUGAGAGUAAUCAAGAAUUAGUGUUACAUGGACAUGCUUGGUGGAUGAUGUACAUAGAUAUCAACAAGAAGGAACGACCCUUUAAGCUCAGGAUUAACCAUCAACGCCGCAUGGAGAACUUAGCAGAAUACUAUUCUUAAAUAUCUUGCCCUGCGAGCCUGCUCCCCGUCUUCUAUGUUGUGGCCUGCAAGAGCUGGAAAUCGUUUGAUGGUGUCGUCUCCGACACAUAAUGUACC
rnacentral:lncRNA from 1 species